rnacentral:rRNA from 1 species
AUGAGCUCCCCCACUAGACACCGUAAGGGACUUGCCACCCUUGCAACCCUGACGGCCUGGUCUAUAUGGAAGCAGCGCAACCGCUGUGUCUUCGAUGGUGAGUCCCCCUCCACCUCCCGGCUUCUUGAGCUUAUCCAGAACGAGGCACGGUCUUGGGCUAGGGCUGGCGCUCACGGUUUAAACACGUUGCUGGCAUAG